CUUUAUUCAAUAAUCCUAUAAAUAUUUACAUUCUGCAUGAAAAACGUCGCAAAAGGUACAUUUUGUAUGAAUUAAAUAUCAACGAGUUUAGAGGCCGCCAUCUUGGGCUGUGGGUAACUUAAGUUACCCACAGCCGUUUAAGCACAGUGAAUAUAAAGAAAUCCAAGGUAGCAAAGGAAAUUACAUAUAAAAUAUGAAAGUCGUGUAAUGAACGAACUAAACUUUUGUGAAAUGGAAUGUAACCUUAAUGAUAACUUUUUACAGGAUUUAGGCAAUAACAUGUGUUUUAUUAAUUAUCAUCUUUAGGCAAUGGUCAGAUGAAUAAGAAAGAAAAGCUUAUGGACAACUAUUAUACAUUGCAUGUUAUAUUUUCUUAUCCAUCCGAUGUACUUUACUAUUAAAGUCUGUGAACUUGUAAGUGGCUACAACAAUAAGUAUUUCCACGCCCCUGCAUUGUAAUUCACUUACAACUUCUAAAUUGUAACAGUUACUUUAAAUAUAACUUAGAUCCAAGAAUAUUGUAUAUAAAAACAUCAAUUGUUUUAAGCUCGUCAUUUAUGUUUGACGUCGUUAAUGACAUUUGGACUAAGUAGCCAAUUGUGGUCUUUAGUUGAUUCCAUUUGACAACACUACGAAUACUUAAUAGGAUUUAGAUAUUAUUUCAUCUUCCAUGUUAUAGAGAUAAAUAUUUGGUUAUUACCAUCCCUCAAUUUUGCUGUUGUAAGAAAACAUAUGUAUUGUAACACGUUUUGAAUUGAAAUAUUGAAAUAAGGUAAUGUGGUAUGAUUUCCAUUGAACAAACGCUAUUUGCACUCAAAAUUGGUAUUCGCCUCUCAGUAGAUACUAUGUUUUCAUCGGGCAUUUGCACUUUAUUGAAAAUGUUUGAUAAAUUGACUGCUUGUGUCUCUCUUUAAAUUAAUCUAAAGCUUAGGUUAUGAAGCUUGGUUGAAAACUGAUUUCAAAGGGAUAGCACAUCCUUAAUUUUUUUUACAGAGCCCGGAAAUUUAGAAACGAUUCAGGUAAACUAAUCUAUCCUUUGAAUAAACUUUUUCUAAAAGUUAACUAAUUCAACACUGG
rnacentral:lncRNA from 1 species